CCUACGGGAGGCAGCAGUGAGGAAUAUUGGUCAAUGGCCGGAAGGCUGAACCAGCCAUGCCGCGUGAAGGUCAGUGCACUAUGGGCGUUAAACUUCUUUUGUGCGGGAGCAAUAAUGGUCACGUGUGGCCAGACGAGAGUACCGUACGAAUAAGCAUCGGCUAACUACGUGCCAGCAGCCGCGGUAAUACGGGGGAUGCAAGCGUUAUCCGGAUUUAUGGGGUUGAAAGGGUGCGUAGGCUGUGAGGGAAGUCAGCGGUGAAAUUCACCCGCUCAACGGGGUGAAGUGCCAUUGAUACUGCCUUGAUGGAAUGCGGAUGCCGUGGGAGGAAUGUGUGGUGUAGCGGUGAAAUGCAUAGAUAUCACACAGAACACCGAUUGCGAAGGCAUCUCACGAAUCCGCGAUUGACGCUGAUGCACGAAAGCGUGGGUAUCAAACAGGAUUAGAUACCCCAGUAGUC
rnacentral:rRNA from 1 species